rnacentral:tRNA from 4 species
GGAGGGAUGGCCGAGUGGUUGAAGGCGCACGCUUGGAAAGCGUGUUUACUUUACGGUAACGAGGGUUCGAAUCCCUCUCCCUCUU